UUCUCUUUUCACACUCACUAUAAUACAGUGAAUGCUCACAGUAAUCAGCUCUCUUUCAUAUGGGUUCUGCCUUUCACUGAACAUGAUUUCCAGUUGAUCAUAGAACAGGCACUGAACAGAAAUAAAAACUGGAGUGUGCAGGAUCAGUGGUUGGCAUCCAGGGGCAGGUUUGGUUCAUUAUCACGGGGACAACCUCAGAGACUUUGGCAUUCUGGGUGAAGGAAGAAAGAAGAGAAUAUACAUGGAAACCCAGGGAUUGUGGCAAAGAUGGAUGAUGGGAUGUCACUUCACUGAUUAAGUGCCAAAAGGUUGCAAUCUCCUCUUGCUAACAGACUCUCUGCCUUGCUGGCUUUGAUGAUGCAAUUUGCCAUGUUGGAGCUGCCUAUGUGGCAUGAAACUGAAGCAGGCCUCCAGCCAACAGCCAGCAAGAAACUGAGACCCUCAGUCCAACAGUCCACAGGGAUCUCAAUCUUGCCAACCACCAUGUGAGCCUGGAAAUAGAUCCUUGCCCAGUUGAACCUUAAGAUCACUACAUCGCAGCUGACACCUUGACUGCAAGUCUGUAAGAGACCCUGAAGUGCAGGAACUUGCUAAGCCUGCCCAGACUCUUGACCCACGGAAACUGUGAGACAAUACAUGUGGGUUGUUUUAAGUUUGGGGGGUCUCGCUCUGUUACCCAGACUGGAGUGCAGUGGCGCGAUCACAGCUCACUGCAACCUCAACCUCACGAGCUCAAGCAAUCCUUCCAUCUCAGCGUCCUGAGUAGCUGGGACUACAGGUACACACCACCAUGUCCAGGUCUUUUGGACCCAUGCUUCAAGGGUCAAGUGUUAACUUUUCAGAAACAACCUUUAAUGAGUCAGGAUAAAAACCAUCUGGUUCAGGGAUUCUUCUUUCAAAUGGAGGAAAUUCAGAAGAGACGAGAAAUUUCCCACCAUUAUAAGAAUUCCACUGGAGGCAUACUGAAGCAGCUCAGAAAAUCAAUGUAUCCGCUCCUAUCUUUCAUUCCUUUUGUCUUCCUGCCCAUCCAUGAAAGGAAGUGAAAAAGAAAUGUUGCAAAGAAGAAUAGAGAGACGAUAAGGUUUUCGUUCUACAGGCUGAAUGUGCAAAAUGUAAGCUCUCAAAUGAGAUUAAAAAAAAAUGCAGCCUUGCUUAUAAAAGGCGAAUGGGUCCUGGACAAUGCACUACAGACGCGGGUGCCUACAGGAUGUCUUGAGGCAGGUGGGUGGAAGUGUGAGGAAGCCACCUGGAAGAGGGAGGACAGGGCCCAAAUCAGACACAGCUCUCCAUCCUCCCUAAACAGGCUCGCCUAAGUGACACUUCCUUGUGUCCCAGGAAGUGACGAUCAGCCAGUGUAGAUGUUGUGACUCGCGGGUCUCACCCACUCCGAGGGUGCUGCAGGGCGCCCAGAGCGAGACGUCUUCCGCCGGCCCCAUUCCCGAAGAGGCCGCG
rnacentral:lncRNA from 1 species